rnacentral:rRNA from 1 species
UACGUAGGUGGCAAGCGUUGUCCGGAUUUACUGGGCGUAAAGGGUAUGCAGGCGGAUACUUAAGUAGGAAGUGAAAGGUUGGAGCUCAACUCCAACACUGCUUCCUAUACUGGGUGUCUUGAGUGGCGGAGAGGAAGAUGGAACAAAUCGUGUAGCGGUGAAAUGCGUAGAUAUGAUUUGGAACACCAAUGGCGAAAGCAAUCUUCUGGACGCAUACUGACGCUGAGAUACGAAAGCUAUGGUAGCGAACAGG